rnacentral:rRNA from 1 species
AUUGAACGCUGGCGGCAGGCCUAACACAUGCAAGUCGAACGGCAGCACAGUAAGAGCUUGCUCUUACGGGUGGCGAGUGGCGGACGGGUGAGGAAUACAUCGGAAUCUACUUUUUCGUGGGGGAUAACGUAGGGAAACUUACGCUAAUACCGCAUACGACCUACGGGUGAAAGCAGGGGAUCUUCGGACCUUGCGCGAUUGAAUGAGCCGAUGUCGGAUUAGCUAGUUGGCGGGGUAAAGGCCCACCAAGGCGACGAUCCGUAGCUGGUCUGAGAGGAUGAUCAGCCACACUGGAACUGAGACACGGUCCAGACUCCUACGGGAGGCAGCAGUGGGGAAUAUUGGACAAUGGGCGCAAGCCUGAUCCAGCCAUACCGCGUGGGUGAAGAAGGCCUUCGGGUUGUAAAGCCCUUUUGUUGGGAAAGAAAAGCAGCAGGUUAAUACCCCGCUGUUCUGACGGUACCCAAAGAAUAAGCACCGGCUAACUUCGUG